GCUCGGAGGCGGCCGGGCGGCGCGGAGUCCUCCUGGAUCGUGGCAAUGGGCGGACACAGAGCAGAAAGUGGCGGACUUGGGCGGCCACAGGAGGAAUGCGUCUCAGAAGAAUUCUCAUUUUAUUUCAUUUAUUUUGUUAUUUAUUUUUUGAGACAGAGUCUCACUCCGUCAUCCAGGCUGGAGUGCAGUGACAUGAUCUCAGCUCACUGCAACCUCUGCCUCCCUGGUUCAACUGAUUCUCCCACCUCAGCCUCCUGAGUAGCUAGGAUUUCAGAGGGAGAAGUGUCUGUUUGUCCAGUUUGACGUCUGAGGACCCCUCCAGUACCUACAGCCCCUCCUUGGGAAUCGCGGUGCCCGCAGGGCGGAGCAGCCCUCAUGAAUGAGCAGCGCCCAGAGCAUAGCCAGCCAGGCCUCUGCUGGGACUUCACCUCCAGGAGUGCACGGGCUCUACUCGCUCUCCAUAAUGAGAGCAGUUGUUGAGAAGGGUGCUAAGCAGGGCUGCAGCCUGUAGCCUCCCACCCCAGUGCCCCGAGGAAGUUUCUCUCCCAGGAGCCAGCCCAGCCGGCUGGUUUGGCUCUGGUGGACAAGUCUGAGCUGGACAAACAGCGUAGGAAGCGCCAGAUCCUGCUCUGCACAGAGUGAUCCUGAGCUCUUUAACUUGUCCCGCCCAAAAGAAGAAAAAUCCCCAGCAAACUGGCCUGAUAGCCCCACACUGUCAGAAACCUGCUGGAGAAGCUUGGGUUCUUGGCCCGGAUGUUUGAAAUUCCGUAAGCGGAGGAGUCGUAGAAGCACCUUCCCGUGGCACUUCUCCGACAAUGAUUUUGCUAGCUUCCGAUUUUCACCAGCUCCCACGGUCUGCUAAGUAAGGAGCCUGACGAGCGGAGAGACAUCUGGCCACUCAUCCCUCCUCUCUAGGCCUCCGUUUUCGAGCUUGUAAAAUGAAGUGUUUCGAUUCAGUGAGCCUGUGGUUUUGAUUCUGAAUUUGUUAUGGGUAGAAUAAACAUGGUACACAGCAUUGCUAGAACAGUGGGAAAAAAUUGCCUCUCAAUUAAAAAGCAUGAACUCGUGAGGUGAAAUCCAGAAGGGAAACUGUAGUUCAGAUGGCCUGUAUUCUACAAACGUGUCCCCAGGAAGAAGCACACUUGAGGGAAGUCCCUUGACAUAUGCCCUCAGCUGAUUGAAGAUCCCCGAUAAAACCAGUGACAUGGUAGGAGCAUUUCUGGGACAUGAUCUCCCUACUUUGGGUGGCACAAAUAGGAGAAAAGAACAUUGGGUUGGGCGCAGUGGUUCAUGCCUGUAAUCCCAGCACUUUGGGAGGCCAAGGCGGUUGGAUCAUUUGAGAUCAAGAGUUCCAGACCGGUUUGGCCAUCAUGGUGAAACCCCGUCUCUACCAAAAAUACAAAAAUUAGCCGGGCAUGGUGGCUCACGCCUGUAAGCCCAGCUACUUGGCAGGCUGAGACAGGAGAAUCGCUUGAAACCGGGAGACAGAGGUUGCACUGAGCUGAGAUUGUGCCACUGCACUCCAGCCUGGGCGACAGAGACUCUGCCUCAAAAGAAGAAAAAGAACAUUGAACUGUGCUGGGAGAAGCCUUUACACGGGGGUGGGGCAGCUCCUUCUCUCUCCUCAAGAGGGGAAACCAAGGCCCAGACAGCCCAUGUGAAUUUCCCACAGGCUUACUUACUGCAAGUUUUGGGCUGAGCUCACAGCACAGUUUCCAUGCCCAGCCCAGACCCAGAAAGGGAAGGAAGAGAGUUUUCACCGUGAGUCACCUCUGUUCCCAUCCACCUUAGGGGAUUUGUUCUCUAUGUGAUCCGGUGGGCAGCUCACAGCUUCCGUGAGUGGAUUUCGUUUUAGGGGCGCUUGCUCCCCUAACCGCUGCCUUCACGCCAUCUUGAAUUGCCACAGGGCGCUCAUCCAGAAACCCCACAUAGCGCAAGAUCAGCCUUACCAUCCAGGAUGAGAGAGGAAAAAGAAGCCGUUAAAAAGUCAUUUUUCCGAUUUAAAUCAGCCCCGGCUGAAAUAAUCAAGGGAACUCGGAACUAUGGAAAGGUCAAAGGUUUGCAGGUUUAGGGUUUCGUGGGAACCUGCGCAUGUUUGGACCAGACCCAAGUGCCGGGGUGACCUGUUUGACAGGUAACAAUUAGAGAGUAGGAGCUUGCCCGGCUGGAAUGUGGCUGCAGAGGCCGGCAGGAGGAUCUGGUUUACCUGCUCUGCAGGUGGGGCCUGCUGAGUCCGACAGGCAUGUGCACGCACAGCAUUCCAAAGAAUCGGUUUUCUUUUAAAGACGCACCGAUGACUUCAGGGCACAAAAAGGUUGGGUUGAGCCCUGCUGGAAGCCGUUAGCUAUUUGCAAGGUAAAGAAGCAAAAUAAAUAGUUCCCUGAAGACAGCUCAAGGAAGAAACUGCAAAGGCAUUCAGAAUGGUUUUUUUUAAAUGUCUAAAAUGAAUGUGUGCUUUUUGUCUCAAGACUUGAGAAACCCCAGACUAGUACAAAAUGCCAAAGAUAAUAGAACUGAAAAGUCGUCCCUCUCCUCCUCGGACUAUUUUCUUCUUUUCCUUUUUAAAGAGGCCAUAAUGUUGUUAAGAGCAGAAUACAGGCUUCUCGAAGGGUGCUGCCUUGCUUAAGACUGUCCAGAAAUAUUGGCUAUUUCUCUCAGCGUUGUUGCAGAAGACACUGAAAAAGGCAAAAUACUUGGGGGGGGGGUUCCUCAAUAAAUUGUAGAUGUUGUGUACAUUUUGAAAGUUAAAAGUACUAAUUUGGUAAAACAUAUUUUUAAAAAAUGAUUGUAAAUAAGCAGUUUUUUUAGUGUAUAAAAUAAUAGAUUAGGAUAAUAUUAUAUAUGUAUAUAUAAUGUGUGUGUGUGUGUGUGUGUGUGUACAUAUAUAUACACAUAGACACAGACCCACCUCCGUUAACAUGGCUUCCUUUUGAAUUCAAAGGGCUUUUUGCUGGUAUCAGCUGAAUUAUCUUAUAUCAUAUUCAUGGUUGGUGAGAAGACAAAAGUCAAACUCAGAGAGACUGAGACUUGAAAAUUAUAAUGUAAUAGGAAACUUUGCUAAAACAUUGUCAAAACUCCGAAAUUUUCCAAGUGAUUAAUCUUUUCUUUUUUAGUUUACCAAGUUUGUUUUCUAAAAAAUAAAAUUCCCUUUUCUUUCA